rnacentral:rRNA from 1 species
GAUGAACGCUGGCGGCGUGCCUAAUACAUGCAAGUCGAGCGAACAGACGAGGAGCUUGCUCCUCUGACGUUAGCGGCGGACGGGUGAGUAACACGUGGAUACCCUACCUAUCAGACUGGGAUAACUUCGGGAAACCGGAGCUAAUACCGGAUAAUAUAUUGAACCGCAUGGUUCAAUAGUGAAAGACGGUUUUGCUGUCACUUAUAGAUGGAUCCGCGCCGCAUUAGCUAGUUGGUAAGGUAACGGCUUACCAAGGCGACGAUGCGUAGCCGACCUGAGAGGGUGAUCGGCCACACUGGAACUGAGACACGGUCCAGACUACUACGGGAGGCAGCAGUAGGGAAUAUUCCGCAAUGGGCGAAAGCCUGACGGAGCAACGCCGCGUGAGUGAUGAAGGUCUUCGGAUCGUAAAACUCUGUUAUUAGGGAAGAACAAAUGUGUAAGUAACUAUGCACGUCUUGACGGUACCUAAUCAGAAAGCCACGGCUAACUACGUG